AUUUGUAGCACCUAAAUAUUGUAAAAGCACGAGAUCCCACCUGAUCUUGGCAGCUAAACAGAGUCAGCCCUGGUUGGUACUUGGAUGGGAGAUUGCCAAUGACUACCAGCUGCUGUAGGUC
rnacentral:rRNA from 11 species